CGCGGAAGCCGGGCCGGCGACGCUUUCCCACAGCACCCCAGCGGCCCAGCCUACCCCGCGGCCCCAGCUGUCUCGCGGGGGAGUCCAGGCCCGGCCGGCCGCUUCGGAGUCCCUGUCUGAGCCCUCCUCCCAGCGAGGUCCAUCUCUGACAGUUUUCAGCGGCUUGUGCUUCUUUUUUUUAAAAAAAUGUUAUUAAUACAUGUUUUAGUAAUGUUUAUAAUGUUCACGUUCCUCUGUGGAGUUGGGCACAAACAUUUCUCAAGUGUCUACACCUUCUAGAAGGGGAAUUUUUUUAAGGUGACCUCUUAUUUGCUAUGGUCCGAUGGCAUCAAUCCUCUGACGCAAGGGAAAGAGAAAGAGAAAAAAUCUGGAACACAAGGUUCAUCGGCUAAGUUUUACAUUAACCAUUACAUGCUAGACAGUAUGAGAAUGUGGCCUUUUUUUUGGUUCAAAAAGUCUGAAUUAUGAAAAUGAAUACUUGGCUGUCCCACUGCAGAUUUCUUGUAGUGGGACUGUCAGAGAAAUCUCGACUGGUGAAUAUGAUUUAUUUAUCUAUCAGGUAUGAAUUUCAAGACACUUAGUUCAUUUUGGACUUGUUCCAGUUUGGUUUUAGUCUGUUCAUGUCACCUUUCAUUUUUAGGAAAAACAAAUAGGUCACUGGGUCUAUCAUUGUUUAUCUCAGUUGGGCAACCCUUGGCUGCUGGACUUACUUGAGGUACUGGAUUUGAGUAGUGCCCACUUGUCCUUUGGUUGCUAAUCACAUUUAAGAGUUGUUUCCCUGUGUGCAGAGUCUUGCUGUUGUUGCUUUAGCUUUUCUUCAGACUCUCUUAAGCCAGUUGCAUCAUAUGAGAUAAGAUAUAUGUACUGGCCCUCCAAAGCUUGAACAUAUGCUUCAUAUUGUUUCUAUCUUAGAAUUAACUCAUCUCCUGUCAUAUUUUGAAGUCUGUUUCACUCAGUCAAAACUUUUUGGGAAGAGGUUCUUCCCUUGGAUAUCUUGAAUCCUCUGCAGAUCCCUGUGGUGUGGGUAUCAUCAGUCACCCAGAUUGAGGCCCCACUGCCCAUCACUGGCCCUGCCACACUCCUUCCCACUGCAGCCCAGCACUUCUUUAUUUUUGGGUCUUGAUUUCACACAAUCCACUCGUUCAUUUUUUGAUUGAGUCUUUUGUUUGGGGUGUAAUAUUUUUGAAUUCUUCAUAUAUUCUCAAUAUUGGUUUUCUCUCUAAGGAAUAACUGGCAAAACACUUUCCCAUUAUCCAAGUUGUCUUUUAUUCUAUUGGUUAUUUUUUUUUACUGUGCAGAAGCUUUGUAAUUUAAUAUGAUCCCAUUUGUUGAUUUUUGGUACUAGUUCCUGUGCCACUGGGGUUGUUUAGAAAAUCCUUGCCUAUGCUAUGACUUCAAGAGUUUUACUUAUUUUAUCUUCCAGUAGGUAAAGUGUUUCUGUUUUAACAUUUAGUUAUUCGAUCCAUUUCAAUUUUAGUUUAGUAUGUUCUGAGAGAUAUGAGUCUAGAAUCAAUCUUUUGCAUGUGAUGGCCAGUUUUCCAGCAUCGUUUGUUUAUUAAAGAUAAUAUCUUUCUUCUAGUGUAUGUUUUUUGGUCCCUUUGUCAAAGAUAAAAAGUAGAAUGUGCUUGGUAUUGUUUCAGCAUACUCUGCUCUGUUCCAUUGAGCCUUGUGUCAGUUUUUGUUCCACUACCAUGCUAUUUUUAUCACAGUAGCUUUGUAGUAUAACUUGAAGUACAGGAGUAUGAUGUCUCCUGCUUUGCUCUUAUUACCCAACAUUGCUUUUGCUGUUCUGGGUCUCUUUUGGUUUUAUAUAAAUUUUAGGCUGGAUGUUUUCAGUUCUGUGAAGAAUGCUAUUGGUAUUUUGAUUGAGAUUGUGUUAAAUCUGUAUAUCAAUUUUGGAAGUGUGGCCAUUUUGGCUAUACUGGUCCUGCCUAUCCAUGAACAAGGGAUAUCUUUCCCUUUUCUGAUGUUCUCUUCUAUUUCCUUUUUCAGAGUGCUAUAGUUUUCAUUGUAGAGGUCUUUCACUUCUUUGGUUAGGUUAAUUCCUAAGUAUUUAAUUUUUAUUGGUGCUAUUGUGAAUGAUAUUUUUUCCUAAUUUCUUUCUCAUUGGGUUCAUUAUUAGUGUACCAGAAUGCUAGUGAUUUUUUUGUGUAAAUUUUGUAUCCUGCAACAUUGCUGAAUUUGGUUAUUAAUUCUAAGAGCAUUUUGGUGAAUUUUUGACUUCUUGUUUUCUGAUACAUAUCCAUUUAUUUCUUUUUCUUGACUAAUUGCCCUUGAUAAUGUUUUGAGUAUUAUGUUGAUCAGGAGUGGUGAUAGUGGAUAUCCCUAUUGUGCUCCUGAUUUUAGAGGAAAAGUUUUCAGUUUUCUACCAUUUAAUAUGGCAGUAGAUUUGUCAUAAAUGGCUUUUAUCAGAUUGAGAC
ensembl:lncRNA